GAUCCAGCUCACACGGGAAAUACUUUCUGAGAGUCCUGGACCUCCUGUGCAAGAACAUGAAACAUCUGUGGUUCUUCCUUCUCCUGGGGGCAGCUCCCAGAUGGGUCCUGUCCCAAGUGCAGCUGCAGGAGUCGGGCCCAGGACUGGUGAAGCCUUCGGAGACCCUGUCCCUCACCUGCGCUGUCUCUGGUGGCUCCAUCAGUAGUUACUACUGGGGCUGGAUCCGGCAGCCACCAGGGAAGGGACUGGAGUGGAUUGGAUAUAUCUAUUCCAGUGGGAGCACCAACUACAACCCCUCCCUCAAGAGUCGAGUCACUAUGUCAGUAGACACGUCCAAGAACCAGUUCUCCCUGAAGCUGAGCUCUGUGACCUCCGCGGACACGGCCGUGUAUUACUGUGUGAGAUACACAGUGAGGGGAGGUGAGUGUGAGCCCAGACAAAAACCUCCCUGCGGGGAGGCGGAGGGGGCGGACGCAGAAGAGGAAGAGACACAAGAGACCUCUCACUUUUCACGUGCAGGCAUAGAAGAGGCCAUGUGGAGACGUCAUGCACUAGAAGGUGGCCCAGUAGAAACCAGGAAGAAGCUGCGCCAAGAACCAACCCUGCCAGCACAUUGA